rnacentral:rRNA from 1 species
CCUACGGGAGGCAGCAGUAAGGAAUAUUGGUCAAUGGACGAAAGUCUGAACCAGCCAUGCCGCGUGAAGGAUGAAGGUCCUCUGGAUUGUAAACUUCUUUUAUAUGGGACGAAAAAAGGCUUUUCUAAGUCGUCUGACGGUACCUUCUUAGCAAGCACCGGCUAACUCCGUGCCAGCAGCCGCGGUAAU